GAAAAAGAAACAGCUGAUGAAGUUGGCGAUCACGAGAGAGAGAGAGACGGUAGGAUUUUCGAACAAAACAAUGUAUUCGAAAGAACGUCUGUUUCAGGAAGGAGGAGCCCGACUCGCCCACUUAACGUUGACAUGGCCUGUGAGAAAAUGCACUUCUGUUUGAGCCUCUUUUUAUGCUGCCGGAUCGUCGGAAUAAUAGGAGACUUAGGAAACGACUCGAUUCAACAUCGAAACAAUUUUAACCGGUUAAAGGAAAGGGCCAACGCAAUAGGUUUAGCGUUUGCUCUAGGCGCCUCAGUUAUACGUUUCUACGUGAAAACAGUGGAUGUCUAUAUUCUUUGAAUAAGAAAUGGUCUUCGUUUCUAAUAAAAUCUGUUUAUCGAAACCUUA